CGUGUCGUGAGAUGUUGGGUUAAGUCCCGCAACGAGCGCAACCCUCAUCCUUAGUUGCCAUCACGUUUGGGUGGGCACUCUAAGGAAACUGCCGGUGGUAAGCCGGAGGAAGGUGGGGAUGACGUCAAGUCCUCAUGGCCCUUACGGGUAGGGCUACACACGUGCUACAAUGGCAGUGACAAUGGGUUAAUCCCCAAAAACUGUCUCAGUUCGGAUUGUCGUCUGCAACUCGACGGCAUGAAGGUGGAAUCGCUAGUAAUCGUGGAUCAGCAUGCCACGGUGAAUACGUUCCCGGGCCUU
rnacentral:rRNA from 1 species